UCCCCAAACAGUAAAUCCCAUCGCAUAAAAAUAGCAGAGAGAUUGCGUAAUCUACUGGUACAAGAGCAUUCAAAUAAGCAACCAUAAUAUUCAAAAGCAAUAAAUAAUAAAUCAGAUGUGCUACUAAUAUAAGAAUCAACUAACUGAUCAAGCAGCAUAUGGUCAAAAACUUAUAUCAAACUAACACUUCACAACUGAAACUAACAUAUUGUUCAGAUACUUCAAAACAUAACAGAGAUAAAGAUCUUUUUGGCAUUAAAAAAGUGACAUCAUCACAAACAACAGACUUAAUCAAACAAGCUGAAACCCAUGUCAUCAUCUGACUCCUCAGCAGGUUCAUCCUUCUUCUCCUCCUCCUUAGCAGCAGCAGGAGCAGCACCAGAACCAGCAGCUGCAAUAGGUGCAGAAGCCACAGCAGCAAACUUGCUAGGAUCCUCCAGGUAUUCCUUCACUUUGUUAGCCAGAGGGAAAGAAUAAUCGGUCACAACAGCAAUGGCCAACAACAGCAGCAAACUUGCUAGGAUCCUGCAGCCACAAACACGGUUGAGAGAAUGCAACUGCUAUAUUAUUCAACCAAUCAUCGAAAACAUACCUCCAGGUAUUCCUUCACUUUGUCAGCCAGAGGGAAAGAAUAAUCGGUCUCAACAGCAAUGGCCAACACAUUCUUGUAGGCAUUAGUGAACAUGUGUGGUGCAGCAGCCAAAGUUGGGUAAGAGAUGGCCAAUGACAAGGAGGUAACCAUAGAAACUCCCAUGGCAAACUUUUCAACCAGAUCAUCCUCAGUCGGGUCAAGAACCUCAGGACUAAAGAUAGAUCCAUUGUCAUAAACAGAGAGAACAACAAGACCAUAUAAAAGAUCAUCCUCUGUCAGGUCAAGCACCUCAGGACUGAAGACAGAUCCAUUGUCAUAAACAGAGAGCACAACAAGACCAUAAGAGAAGGGCCUGAUUCCAAGUUUGGCAAGCAGAGCAGCUUCAGAGGAACCCACUUUGUCACCCUUCUUGAUGAGCUCCACAGGGGUGAUAAUUUCAACAGUACCCUUGUUAAUCUUGGUGGGAAUGUUCAGCACCUAUACAAGGAUAUGGUAGCGUAAGGAAGAACAUACAGAGGAAAAGUGAUAAACAAGAUUCUGUAGGGUAAUACAUAAAGACCUGGAAGAAGGAUGUCUGAGAGGGAUCCAGUCCAGUGUUGCCAGGAGGGACAACAACAUCAACUGGUGCCACCAAACCAACACGAGCAGGUGCUCUAACCUUGUACUUUGCAACUUCCUCACUCACUUCCUUCAAGUCGCCCUUGGUGAAGAUCAAUCCCACGUUACCAACAAGGAGGGGAAUGACAUUAACAUAUACCACAAUUAAGGAUGGAUGAUAAUAGGGAAGAAACUUCGAAUCAGUUAAACUGACAAUAAUCUGUCGUACUAAAUAUGUCCUCAUCACUUUGUAUAAGAAUGCACCUUACAGUACUAUCAGGUUAGGAUGAAUUUACAAAGUAAGCAGAAUAGGUACAAAGACUUGAUUCCCUUGACAAUGAUCUUCCCAUAUGAAAAGCUGACCAAUUUAUUUAUACUCCCAAUAUGAAAUUGACAGCAACAUGUAAUAAAUGUAAUCCAUUAAAACACAUAAUAUAAUGCAUCUCAAACAUAAAACAGGUUCUCAGGAUCACAUAGAAAACAAAUGACGUAAAGCAAUGUUCCAUCAUUUUAAACGUCAAGUGUGAUGAACGUGAAUACCAUGAAACACACAACCACAUAGAUGAUUACAAAAAGAAGCAAUAUUAGUCAAUUUACCUUGUACUUUGCAACUUCCUCACUCACUUCCUUCAAGUCACCCUUGGUGAAGAUCAAUCCCACGUUACCCUAUUAGAAAAAUACGUUGAGUUCAUUUAAUCAGCUAUUUGAGUAAAACACAUACUCUGAAGGACAAAUCAUGAUUCUAAUAUAGCAAUUGAACAUAUGAGUGGAAUAGGCUCUUUCAUUUAUCUUUACAUGAUUAUUCAAGGCAGUUAACUAACUAAAAUGUUAAAGAACAGUAUCAAAGUAUUAGAAUGUUAACUCUGACUAUAGAAAAACAAAAAAUUAAAAGAGAUACGCCAGAAUAAGAAUAAGAAAACGAAAAAAAGAUAACUUCGGAGCAUGCUUACACUAAGAAAACAUAAUUUAAGAUUGUUCAACAGAUUCAGAAACUAAAACUUACAACAAGGAGGGGGAUGAGAUUGAGGAUGGUGUUGUUGCCGGUUUUUUCAGCGUGGACUCGAAUAGUCCUCUUCAUCAUAGUGUUCUUUCCCAUGAGAACAAUGGAAUCACCUCUCAAACCCUUCCUAAUGUUUUGGAGCUGAGUGGAUCCAACAUUGUCAGCGGCAGCCACGAGCACCUGAGUGUACUCAUCCAGAAGUUGGCACAUCUUUGAGUCAUAAGCGAUCUUCUUCUCGGCUUUAGUUGCUUUGGGUGCCAUUGAUAAAGUUUCAGAUGUGAUGCAACAAACUAACUGUAUGUAAUUUACAGAAGAACUAACAAAACCCUAAAAAGUGAAAGGAAGAGAUUUGGGGGGUGUUACAACAAAAUGAGGGCCAAGACUGGUUUCAGAGUUCAGCCAAGGCGGACAGCAACGGCGCCGUCACUUUAACCUCUUCGAUUCAGAUUUUGGGUUUGCUGGAAGAUGAGAACGAAACACCCUAAUGCUGGUUUGCUAUGCGGACUGAUGGUUGAGGCUGAUG
rnacentral:lncRNA from 1 species